rnacentral:lncRNA from 10 species
GGGGACGAUGAGGUGCGGAGGCGUUGGCAGUUGACUUUUGCUGAUGGAGCCUCUCUGAAGGGCAAAUUCAAAGUACAGCUGGGUGCUGCAGCACUGGAGUGCGAACUUGUGGCUGUGGUUAUGAAGGAGCCUCGUCAGCUAUGCCUUUAGCCCCUGGUGAAGCAGUGCCAGUCACACUUUGCCAGUCAAACGGAGAGGCAGCAGUAGUAAGACCAGACCAAAUCAAACCAAACCAAGCAAACCACGGGGAAUGGAGAUUAUUGCCUGCUCCUCCAAGCCCUUCACUGUAGAAUGGAAGCCUGUGAUUUUCCUGGCAUCAUGCAUGACUGAGAAGGUCAGUGUGGCUAAUUCUGAGCUUCAACAUCAGGAAACCCGUAGUUCUUCACACUGAGCCGCCUCCUGCAGCACAGUCAUCCUUGGUAAUAAAGCUGAUAUUUUAAUCAAUA